rnacentral:misc_RNA from 1 species
AAGUCGUAACAAGGUUUCCGUAGGUGAACCUGCGGAAGGAUCAUUAUUGAAACAAGGGGUCGCUCCGGGGAGCCCUGCGCCGGCGGAGACGUCGUGCUGCGGGCCCCCGUUCGGCUCCGUCCACCCUCACACCCCUGUGCACCUUUGGGAGGGCGGGCCUCUGUGCCCGUCGGCCCGCUUUACAAACUCUUGUAACGUAUUUCGAAUGUCAUCGCGGACUCGAUCCGCUCAAACAGUAACAACUUUCAACAACGGAUCUCUUGGCUCUC